rnacentral:rRNA from 1 species
GACGAACGCUGGCGGCGUGCCUAACACAUGCAAGUCAACUUGACCGAAGGAGCAAUCUGACAGUAGAGUGGCGCAAGGGUGCGUAACGCGUAAGUAACUUGCCCAAGGUAAGGAAUAACGUCGAGAAAUCGGCGCUAAUACCUCAUAAUGCAGCGGAUCCGCAUGGAUAUGUUGUUAAAGGUUUACCGCCUUGGGAUAGGCUUGCGUCUGAUUAGCUAGUUGGUGUGGUAACGGCACACCAAGGCUACGAUCAGUAACUGGUCUGAGAGGAUGAUCAGUCACACUGGAACUGAGACACGGUCCAGACUCCUACGGGAGGCAGCAGUGAGGAAUAUUGGGCAAUGCUCGAAAGAGUGACCCAGCAACGCCGCGUGGAGGAUGAAGGUAUUCUAUAUCGUAAACUCCUGUGAGAGCAGACGAAAGACAGAUUAUUAAUCUGGAUGACUGUAUGCUCAGAGGAAGCCCCGGCUAACU